rnacentral:tRNA from 1 species
GCGGGCAUGGAUGAAGGGUGAAAUUAUCUGCCUUCCAAGCAGAGGAUAUGGGUUCGAAUCCCAUUGCCCGCA